rnacentral:rRNA from 1 species
CUCCCCGCUGACGAGCGGCGGACGGGUGAGUAAUGCAUAGGAAACUGCCCAGUAGUGGGGGAUAGCCCGGGGAAACCCGGAUUAAUACCGCAUACGCCCUUUGGGGGAAAGCAGGGGAUCUUCGGACCUUGCGCUAUUGGAUGUGCCUAUGUCGGAUUAGCUAGUUGGUGGGGUAAGAGCCUACCAAGGCGACGAUCCGUAGCUGGUCUGAGAGGAUGAUCAGCCACAUCGGGACUGAGACACGGCCCGAACUCCUACGGGAGGCAGCAGUGGGGAAUAUUGGACAAUGGGGGCAACCCUGAUCCAGCCAUGCCGCGUGUGUGAAGAAGGCUUUCGGGUUGUAAAGCACUUUCAGUGAGGAGGAAAACCUUACGACUAAUACUCGUGAGGCUUGACGUUACUCACAGAAGAAGCACCGGCUAACUCCGUGCCAGCAGCCGCGGUAAUACGGAGGGUGCAAGCGUUAAUCGGAAUUACUGGGCGUAAAGCGCGCGUAGGUGGUUUGAUAAGCGAGAUGUGAAAGCCCCGGGCUCAACCUGGGAACGGCAUUUCGAACUGUCAGGCUAGAGUAUGGUAGAGGAGUGUGGAAUUUCCUGUGU